AGGCACCAACAGGCCACAUGCUCCCCGUCUACAAACACAUUUGAAAAGGAGGACGAUGUCUGGUGUCUUUCCAGGGACAAAAACAAUCCCCAAGGAUUUUGGAUAUUGCCAUCAUUGUUCCCCAUAACAUGGGGUAUACCUGAACCACACAAACACACACACACACACACACAUACACAGUAAAACUGAGUAAACUAAAUUUUAUUUAUGAGCAAAUUCGUAUUUGUUGUUUUUACUUUGUGUUAUGUAAGAAAUGUUUUAAUUUAAUAAUCUAACCUGUAGUAUGUGUACUGUAAAUGAACAAAUAUACAUUUAGCUUAAACUCAGUAAAAUAAUUACACCUACCAUUUUAAACAUGUUUAAAAGAUUACACAUUGUGUGUCACUAAAGCAAGGCACACUGUCUAUUGUCUUAAAAAAUGUUUAAAUAACCUGAUGACCAGCAUUGUUUCUUUAGAUCAUUUAUGCACACAAGUGCUUUUUUCGCACGAGUAGAAAACUCUUUGGAUGUGUUUGGCAAAAACAUCAUUUCUACAUCUUAAAUGCAUGACUGAACUUUUCUCAUUCGACAGAAAUACUAUUUUCAAAUUACUUACCCGGCCUAUAACACUUGGUGUAAAUGUUCUUACCUAGAACAGAAAACAUACACUUUGACUAUUUGACUAUUUUGAAGGCAUCAUGUAAUGUUAAAUGGUUUACAAAAAAAAAAAAUAGCACCAGCAGCUGUGAUUUUCAAAAUGAAAGAAAUGUACAAGCUAAGGAUGUUUCAACUAUUAUCAUCAUUUCCUUUUGACUCUGAUAAACUGGUAAUGAAUUUUCUAUGCAAGUGACACGAUAUACAGUUCUCAUACUAUUUGUGUAGAUAGCUGUGCUAAAACAUUUAUGACUAUUUUUGCAUGCCAGCAGAUUAUGUCAAGGGUGUUUCACAUCUAAGAAUCACAAUGUUUUUUAAAUGACAUUUUUCUUACACCUCAAGAUUUAGCCAUAUCAAGAUUUUGGACGGCCGUUCACAAUUUGUUUGUUGGACUGUACGUUUUUAGGUGAUCUCUGUGUGGUGUCAUCAUAAUAGGAAUAAAUGAAAAUUAAGAAAUUAAGUUA